rnacentral:rRNA from 1 species
AGAGUUUGAUCAUGGCUCAGGGACAACGCUGGCGGCGUGCCUAAUGCAUGCAAGCCGGACGGGAGCCGCGGAAGCGGUCGACCGUGGCGGACGGGUGCGGAACACGUGGGGAACCUGCCCUGGCGUGGGGGACAACCCUGGGAAACUGGGGCUAAUCCCGCAUACGCUCCUCUGGUGGUAGGCUGGGGGAGGAAAGGCCGGACGGUCGCGCUGGGAGGGCCCUGCGGCCUAUCAGCUA